UGCCGUGCGUCGAUAACGUUGGGUGGCCAUUUACCGAGCAGAACAACUGCUGUGAGCAAGGUUUUGUCUGUCAGAAUUUGCCUCCUAACGUUGAUUAUUGCAUACCAAAUCCUAACCCCUAGAAUGGAUGGUUCCAUUCCCUUGGUUUGCUGGUUGUCAAGUGUUUCCAUUGCUGUUCUUGAUUUCUGUUAGAUGUUUCCUUUCUGUGUUAUUCGUGGGGACUGGAGAGUCCUUAAUCCGAAAGUGCUGUACUCCAUGUUGUUUUCUCUGGUCGAAUAAAAAGACAAGGGGCUACCUAUUGUUCCAU
rnacentral:lncRNA from 1 species